AGAUGAUAUGCAUAGUACUCCCAGAACUCAUUAAGUUGGUAGUACUGUGCAUAUCAUCUAU
rnacentral:pre_miRNA from 1 species